UCGUCAAUAGCUCAGAUGAUAGAGCACUCGUCUAUUUAACGAGAGGUCUCAAGUUCGAUUCUGGGUGGAGGCA
rfam:Phlebotomus papatasi Contig69514.1, whole genome shotgun sequence.